GCGCCGGGCUCUGUGCGCAGGCGCUCAUCGGUCCUCGGUGGGGCGGCCGGGUGGUGUCGAGCUUCUCCGGGCGCGGUCGCGCGUGGGGCGGGCGGUGGGUCGCGGAGGUCGCGCCCUGGCCCGCGUCGGCAGCGCGACACGAUGGAGAGGGGCUCGGGAAAGAGGCACCGCCGCCUGCGUCGCGUCCACACUGAAUGGAGGCAGACCUGGGGGCCCCGAGCGAACGCGCAGGAAGGGCUGCUUUUGGGGGCGAGGCUGCGCUUGCUGCGGCGCAGAGGACAGAACGACAGACACCAUCCGGCCCCGCCAGCCAGGGAGGCUCCGUUGGAACAAGGCAUCUCUGCAGAGUCAAGAAAGAGGGGGACUCCAGAAACAGGAAUCUCACCGGGAAGACCCACACCCCCCUCCAGCCUCUGACCCGAGAUGGAUCAGAGCUUCAGAGGAGAAGCAUUGGAAACCCAGAAAAGGAGCGUAAGGCUCAGAGCGGCCAAGGCUUGAGUGAUUUGCCUACAAUCAGCUGUGAGUCACUUUGCAAAGAGAGAAGGGAGCUGGGGCUGAGAGUGGUGGCAGGGGACAGACUGUGUGAUCAUUGUCCCCGGGUUGGUGGGAUGCUGGGGGUUCUGCAGCUGGGAAAGUUUUAUCUUUAAACCCCACCUCCCUUCAUUCUCCAUUCAUUCUUCCUGGAGGCUGGGCACCUUUCAAACCAUGUCCAUCACCAGGACCGGCCUCUGGAGUUGUGCUUUUCUGUUCCUGAUCUUGCAGAGUCAAGAAUAUAGUUCCAGGGAGUUCCCCUUGUGGCUUAGCGGGUUAAGGACCUGAGUCGUUUCUGUGAGGGUAGGGGUUCGAUCCCUGACCUGCUUCAGUGGGUUAAGGAUCCGGUGUUGUCCUGAGCUGUGGAGUAGGUUACAGACGUGGCUUGGAUCUCACAGUGUGGUCGCUGUGGUGUAGGCCUGCAUUCGACCCCUGGCCUGGGAGCUUCCGCAUGCCCGCAGGUGCGACCAUAAAAAGAAAUAACUAGUUAAAAGGGUAGGCGUUUCAGGAGGGUUUGCUGGGGUUUUCUGCUUUUGUCUCAUUUGACUAAAGGGGAGAAGCACCUGAGAGGGGAAAUGACUUGCCGAGGAUCAAAAAGAGGCACGUGCAGUCC
rnacentral:lncRNA from 1 species